rnacentral:misc_RNA from 1 species
GAUGAAGAACGUAGCGAAAUGCGAUACUUGGUGUGAAUUGCAGAAUCCCGUGAACCAUCGAGUCUUUGAACGCAAGUUGCGCCUCAAGCCAUUAGGUUGAGGGCACGUCUGCCUGGGCGUCACAUAUCGUUGCCUGAUGCCAGUUUCCUCGUGAUGGGUGACUGUGCAGGGCGAAUGAUGGCUUCCCGUGAGCAUUGUUGCCUCAUGGUUGGUUGAAAAUUGAGUCCUUGGUAGGGAGCGCCGUGAUAGAUGGUGGUUGAGUGACGAACGAGACCCAAUCAUGUGAGACCCCUACCGAAUUUGGCCUUCAUGACCCACAUGCGUCUUUGGAACGCUCAUGACGAGACCUCAGGUCAGGCGGGGCUACCCGCUGAGUUUAAGCAUAUCCAUAAGCGGAGGA